GAAAACUAAGAAAUCAACAUUGGUACAGAAAUCAACAUUAUCACAUUGAACUGCAGCCUCCGCUAGAAUCUCACCAGUUUUUCCACUAGUGCAGCUUUUCUGUCCCAGGACCCGCCCCAGGAUACCAGGCUGCACUUCAAAGGAGCCGGUUUUACAAAAAAGCAUGUUGCUUCAAAAGGCAGCUUCAUCCAAGGCAACAGAAGACAGUGAAGCAGAGUACUCAGGAGCCAGCCAGGAGCUCAGGAGACAGGGGAGGGGCUGGAACCCAGCACCGAGGACUGGAGACACCUGUGAAGUCUCCCUAGAAUUAGAUGCCGCCUUCUCCUUUCAGGGGUAACCAAAAUAAAAAUUACCGUCCUCCGGAGCCACCAAUGAAAUCAAGAGCAGUGAGUCACUUAGGCCGUCACCUGUCCUGACAGGGUCUCAUUAACUGAAGGGAGUGGGCACCAGAGGGAAACAGCAAGAGGGGACUAUCCAGGAACUCUGCCCUUUUCCUCAUCUCAACUGAGAAAUGUCACAUAUUUACUGGAUUCCAGAAGCUUCUCGACACCGUGAAGAUAAAAAGUCCCAUGUGGCAUAUUGAUUUCUAAGCGAUAUCCUGGUGCAGGCUGGAUAGAUUCUAUUCUGGAGCUUAUCUGGAAGGGCUUUCUCAUCCCCAGCAUCACAGCGGAGACCCCGGCUCACCCUCACAGGUCUUAGCACACCUGCACAGGCCAGCCCUCACUGCUGACCUCUAACUUACUCAUGGUAUGUUGAUCACCUGAGAGAUCCAUUCCACACAACAUUCUCUUCCAGGCUCCAGAGCCAAAGCACGUAAAGUGUCUUGCCCUGAAGUCAGAACCCGGUUAGCAACAGGCUGGAUUAGACUUUAUGGCCUCUCAAGACUAUUGUGUCAUUCCUGGUCCCUGAUUCACAAGCUCUAUCAGCCAAGGCUGGGGGUUGCAGACAUUGCCUCCUACCUUCAGCAGUGAUCACACAGUAGACACCAGCAGACACAAAGCAUGAGGCCAGUUUCAGAGCUUUCUCUAAAACCCUCUAAUCAAAGACAAACAUUCUUCUUCAGAUAAAAAGAAUGAGACAUUCUCAAACCACUUUCUAGAUGGUGAUCUCUUCAUUAUAUUAUCAACACAGGGUUGAAAAGUUAAAUCUCCAUGGCACUCAGUUUUUCCCUUGAGUUUCUCUAUUAUUUAAACUACACAUCCAUUUUCUUUCCCUCUCCCCAGAAACACAAUUAAACACAGUUCUUUGAUUUUUAUUAUUUUAGCAAAAUCUUUUUUCUAUUCUAGAACCUUUUCC
rnacentral:lncRNA from 10 species